CCUGUAAUCCCAGCACUUUGGGAGGCCAAGGCGGGAGGAUUACCUCAGGUCAGGAGUUCGAGACCAGCCUGGCCAACAUGGUGAAACCCCGUAUCUACUAAAAAUACAAAAGUUAGCUGGGUGUGGUGGCGCACGACUAUAGUCCCAGCUACUUGGGAGGCUGAGGCAGAAGAAUCGCUUGAACCUGGAGGUAGAGGUUGCAGUGAGCCAAGACAGUGCCACUGCACUCCAGCCUGGGCCACAGACUGAGACUCUUUCUCAAAACAAACAAAAACAAAAAUAAAAACAAAAAACAGCUUUUAUGAGCCAGUGUGAGUGAGCUCUGCACAUCACUGAUACGUUUACAGAAAAUGUGAAAGAGAUGGAAGACAAAGAAGUUAGAAAUGAAGCAAUCAAGGUGGGUCUGUAGAACCAAUCCCUUGUCAUUUUUUUGAAAACAAGUAUCACAUGCAAAAAGGACAAAGAGAAUCACCCCGUUUGUUUAAUAGAGAAGAGGGGGUUCACACUAGGAAUGCAUGACCCAUGUCACUUAUAAGAGAGCUAGAUCUUCCUUUAUGGUUUUUAUAUUGAGUAUUAGAGAUUUGCUGACAUUUGACCAUUUCUGACCUAGAACAAUGAUGAUCUUGUGUGUUUUAACCUAAUCAGAUAGCAGGGAGGGGCUUUCUCACGUUUUAUAGAUGAGCGGUUUGCAAUGCUGAAGCCGGAGACAUUUCUGGGGUGGAACCAUGGGAGGUGUAAGGCCAUUUUCACUCCUUCUUGCAUCUUGAUCCGGGACACAGUGCCAUUGCUGCAGAAGGUUCCGAUCCUGACCACGGUGGCAUCGAUUCGGCCGCUGAUGGAGUGAGUGACUCCGUCUGGGCAGCUCUCACCCGGACCGAUCUGCCUCAGGCGAGGGAUGGAAAACUGCAGCUCUAAACCGAUGCUCUUAUGAGCUUUGACAUCCCAGAUGAAAGUUCUGUUGAGGGUAGGCAACAACGAUGUCGAGGGCUGAAGCUGAACCUCCCCAAAAGGACAUGGGCCUGACAUACAGUCUGAAAAACAGUCACAGAAGCAAUUUUGAUCACAGAUGCUCCAAGGCCCCACACCACUCCUCCUCCACCACUCAGCCCCCUGUAGUAGACUCUUUGGGGCUCCCCCAAGGUGGCCUUUACCAGGCAGGGGCACCCAGGCCCCAACUGCUGUGAGUCUUAGUGGCCAAUGGCUCACAGAUGUACCCUCCUUCGGGGAAGUGCCUCAGCUCGGGGGAGCUGCCUUGAACCAGAAAAGCCUGAGAGGUGUUGCAGCCCCUCAUGCCCAUCCCAAGGGAGAGGUGCUGUCUACAGCCAAUAAUGGCCUCCUGCAGGAAUUAAAAAGUCUGACCUCCUUGCUUCAAGUGAUGUAACCUGGGUAUGCCAUUCAUACUCCAGAGCUCCCCAUGGGGUCAGGCUGAAGCUACUCUUCAGCUAAAACCGCAUCUGCAUUCAGCUACGUGCCCUGCUCUAUCCUGCUUUCCUCACUUCUGAGAGCACUUUCUUGAUCACUGACUUAAACAAAAAAUCCUGUCUCAGGCUCUGCUUCCAGGUCACCAGACUUGAGACAUCUCUUAACUACUGUGAUUUCCAGAUUAAGUUCCUGGGGUCCAGUGGGUGAAGCCAGAAGGAAGGCAUUUGUAGCAGAGUCUGUGCUUUGGGAUCUCCUACUUCUCCUGUACUAAGAGAGUCACGAUUUCACAAUUUGUAGAGCACAGUGCCAAGAUCCAUCCUUUAAAACUGGUUUCCCCAUCAACACAUUCAUCAACAUAGCAAAUAUACUCUGAACGUGCAACUCCCCUGGACAGCUGGAAUCUGGCGGCGCCAUUUCUCUUCUUGCACUGCCUUAAUGCUGAUAUUUUAUAACCACUGCAGUUGAAUUUCUUUUUUUAAGGCUAACAGCUAAUAACAUCCUUUGAUAUAUUUGUUUCCUAAGCCUUUUAAAACAAAGCAAGAAAUAUUAUCAAAGAGAAAACAAGAGGAAAGUGAGGGGACGAAACAGAAAGUAGGCAAUGUAACAUUAAGGUUUUGUUGUUUUGAGCAGGGGGCAUCUGAAAGGUGUGAUAGACUCUGGCCUCCAUAAUAAUAAUUUGUGAAUCUUUACUGCUGUUCUAUUGGGGUAUUUGAAAGUAUUGUCCACUCAAAAUAGAAUUAUGGAGAAUUUCAGAUCAGUCUUGGAUCUCUGAGGUCAUCCAAGCCAGACCUCUAAUUUUUGCAAAGCAGCUGUGGAUCCAGGUGACUUGGGCUGGCACUUGCAGCAAGUACACGGCAAUUCCAGAUCCCAGGACGAAAGCUCAGGCUGUGUUUGGUCAGCCCUUUCUUGCCAAUGCGCUAUGCUGUCUAACCAAUAACACAGGGUUAGAUAACAUGGUGACUAACGUGACUAAAAUUAGACUUUGCGUGUUAGUAAAGGUAGUUCCUAUUUUAGGAGCUCAUGGAAACUUCAAUGUUUAUAUCAAGCCACCUCUUUCUUUCAAAAGCAGACCUCAAGUGAUUUUCCACGCACACCUCCAGUGUGCCCAGGGCAACAUCAGUUGGCUCUGGCUAGGUUCUGUACUCUUGUGGAAACAUUUAACUCUAGUAAGGCAGUGACUCUUAGCUCUGGUUCUACCUACAACUCACCUGCAGGCCGUUUAAAAACUACACAUGCCUGGACCAUCCCAGGGAUUCUGAUUUAAUUCUAUAGUAAAAUCUGGAGUCAAAAAGCCCCAUCUCCCAGCCUCAGCUCUGUCAGCAGCCAUGUGACACUGUGAGAGUCAGGUUAUGAAAGCAAUUUUUCAUUUGAUGCUAAGAGCUUUGUUUUUUAGGAUGAACACACAGGUAAGAGUAGUCAAAAUGAUUGGCAUGCCUCGGAAUCUUCUCCUGUACUCUGUCCAGUGAAAACAUUUUAAAUAACUAAAAUGAUUCCUGUCCAGAGGAUGGAGAAGUAUUAUUUCUGAAGUGAUUCAUAAACUCAUUUUCCCCAGCAGAUUUCUAAUUUCAUUAACUCUCUUUUUUUUUUUUUUUUGAGAGCUAGGAAAUCGGAUUAGCACAACUAAUCACUGUUACUGCUGGGAAGAGGUUUUACCAUCAGACCACAUCCUGGGCUAUUGACCAGGCUGCCUCAGCUGUCAUGAGACCAAGCAGGAGGUGGCAGAGCCACUGAGUGUGACCAGAGCCCUGGAACUGAGCUGCCUCGUUUUGCAUCCUGGCCCCACCACAACAAGCCAUAUGUCCUUGGCUAAGUCAUUUAUCCUUUCUGCACCCACUUCUCAUUUGUAAAAUAGGGGAUGAUAAUAAUACCCACUGCACAGGGUUGUUAGGAGGGUUACAUGAGUUAAAAUUGCUUAAAGCCCUUAGAAUAGUACCUGGCACAUAGUCCAUAGUCUGUGUUUGCCCAAAGCAAAAAACAAACACGUACUGUAUGGCAGAGUGGGAGCAGAGAGGAAAGUAGAGAAAACCUGCAAAGGGAGGAAAAAAUUUGUUAAGGGAAGGUCAGGCUCCUGGAAUUGUUUCAGUUGCCAAAUCUCUCAUUUUCACUCUAGUCCAUGUAU
rnacentral:lncRNA from 1 species